rnacentral:rRNA from 1 species
AUCUACAGCUAUACCACCCUGAACUUACCCAAUCUUGUCUUACCUUGGAGGCUAAGAAGGGUCUGGCAUGGUCAGUGCUUGGAUGGGAGGUAAUUAGUUAUCACUAUAGGAA